rnacentral:rRNA from 1 species
GAUGAACGCUGGCGGCGUGCCUAAUACAUGCAAGUCGAGCGAACAGACGAGGAGCUUGCUCCUCUGACGUUAGCGGCGGACGGGUGAGUAACACGUGGAUAACCUACCUAUAAGACUGGGAUAACUUCGGGAAACCGGAGCUAAUACCGGAUAAUAUAUUGAACCGCAUGGUUCAAUAGUGAAAUACGGUUUUGCUGUCACUUAUAGAUGGAUCCGCGCCGCAUUAGCUAGUUGGUAAGGUAACGGCUUACCAAGGCAACGAUGCGUAGCCGACCUGAGAGGGUGAUCGGCCACACUGGAACUGAGACACGGUCCAGACUCCUACGGGAGGCAGCAGUAGGGAAUCUUACGCAAUGGGCGAAAGCUUGACGGAGCAACGCCGCGUGAGUGAUGAAGGUCUUCGGAUCGUAAAACUCUGUUAUUAGGGAAGAACAAAUGUGUAAGUAACUAUGCACGUCUUGACGGUACCUAAUCAGAAAGCCACGGCUAACUACGUG